rnacentral:rRNA from 1 species
UUAAGCGACUAAGCGUACACGGUGGAUGCCCUGGCAGUCAGAGGCGAUGAAGGACGUGCUAAUCUGCGAUAAGCGUCGGUAAGGUGAUAUGAACCGUUAUAACCGGCGAUUUCCGAAUGGGGAAACCCAGUGUGUUUCGACACACUAUCAUUAACUGAAUCCAUAGGUUAAUGAGGCGAACCGGGGGAACUGAAACAUCUAAGUACCCCGAGGAAAAGAAAUCAACCGAGAUUCCCCCAGUAGCGGCGAGCGAACGGGGAGGAGCCCAGAGCCUGAAUCAGUGUGUGUGUUAGUGGAAGCGUCUGGAAAGGCGCGCGAUACAGGGUGACAGCCCCGUACACAAAAAUGCACAUACUGUGAGCUCGAUGAGUAGGGCGGGACACGUGGUAUCCUGUCUGAAUAUGGGGGGACCAUCCUCCAAGGCUAAAUACUCCUGACUGACCGAUAGUGAACCAGUACCGUGAGGGAAAGGCGAAAAGAACCCCGGCGAGGGGAGUGAAAAAGAACCUGAAACCGUGUACGUACAAGCAGUGGGAGCCUCUUUUAUGGGGUGACUGCGUACCUUUUGUAUAAUGGGUCAGCGACUUAUAUUCUGUAGCAAGGUUAACCGAAUAGGGGAGCCGAAGGGAAACCGAGUCUUAACUGGGCGUUAAGUUGCAGGGUAUAGACCCGAAACCCGGUGAUCUAGCCAUGGGCAGGUUGAAGGUUGGGUAACACUAACUGGAGGACCGAACCGACUAAUGUUGAAAAAUUAGCGGAUGACUUGUGGCUGGGGGUGAAAGGCCAAUCAAACCGGGAGAUAGCUGGUUCUCCCCGAAAGCUAUUUAGGUAGCGCCUCGUGAACUCAUCUCCGGGGGUAGAGCACUGUUUCGGCAAGGGGGUCAUCCCGACUUACCAACCCGAUGCAAACUGCGAAUACCGGAGAAUGUUAUCACGGGAGACACACGGCGGGUGCUAACGUCCGUCGUGAAGAGGGAAACAACCCAGACCGCCAGCUAAGGUCCCAAAGUCAUGGUUAAGUGGGAAACGAUGUGGGAAGGCCCAGACAGCCAGGAUGUUGGCUUAGAAGCAGCCAUCAUUUAAAGAAAGCGUAAUAGCUCACUGGUCGAGUCGGCCUGCGCGGAAGAUGUAACGGGGCUAAACCAUGCACCGAAGCUGCGGCAGCGACACUAUGUGUUGUUGGGUAGGGGAGCGUUCUGUAAGCCUGUGAAGGUGUACUGUGAGGUAUGCUGGAGGUAUCAGAAGUGCGAAUGCUGACAUAAGUAACGAUAAAGCGGGUGAAAAGCCCGCUCGCCGGAAGACCAAGGGUUCCUGUCCAACGUUAAUCGGGGCAGGGUGAGUCGACCCCUAAGGCGAGGCCGAAAGGCGUAGUCGAUGGGAAACAGGUUAAUAUUCCUGUACUUGGUGUUACUGCGAAGGGGGGACGGAGAAGGCUAUGUUGGCCGGGCGACGGUUGUCCCGGUUUAAGCGUGUAGGCUGGUUUUCCAGGCAAAUCCGGAAAAUCAAGGCUGAGGCGUGAUGACGAGGCACUACGGUGCUGAAGCAACAAAUGCCCUGCUUCCAGGAAAAGCCUCUAAGCAUCAGGUAACAUCAAAUCGUACCCCAAACCGACACAGGUGGUCAGGUAGAGAAUACCAAGGCGCUUGAGAGAACUCGGGUGAAGGAACUAGGCAAAAUGGUGCCGUAACUUCGGGAGAAGGCACGCUGAUAUGUAGGUGAAGUCCCUCGCGGAUGGAGCUGAAAUCAGUCGAAGAUACCAGCUGGCUGCAACUGUUUAUUAAAAACACAGCACUGUGCAAACACGAAAGUGGACGUAUACGGUGUGACGCCUGCCCGGUGCCGGAAGGUUAAUUGAUGGGGUCAGCGCAAGCGAAGCUCUUGAUCGAAGCCCCGGUAAACGGCGGCCGUAACUAUAACGGUCCUAAGGUAGCGAAAUUCCUUGUCGGGUAAGUUCCGACCUGCACGAAUGGCGUAAUGAUGGCCAGGCUGUCUCCACCCGAGACUCAGUGAAAUUGAACUCGCUGUGAAGAUGCAGUGUACCCGCGGCAAGACGGAAAGACCCCGUGAACCUUUACUAUAGCUUGACACUGAACAUUGAGCCUUGAUGUGUAGGAUAGGUGGGAGGCUU